GACGGAGGGUGCAAGCGUUGUUCGGAUUGACUGGGCGUAAAGGGCGUGUAGGCGGUCGGCCAAGUCUGAUGUGAAAGCCCGAGGCUCAGCCUCGGAAGUGCGUCGGAAACUAGUCGGCUGGAGCGCGAUAGAGGAGGGUGGAAUUCCUGGUGUAGCGGUGAAAUGCGUUGAGAUCGGAAGGAACGCCCGUGGCGAAAGCGAGGUCCUGGACGCCAUCUGACGCUGAGACGCGAAAGCCAGGGGAGCGAACGGGG
rnacentral:rRNA from 1 species